UAGGGAAUCUUCCACAAUGGACGAAAGUCUGAUGGAGCAACGCCGCGUGAGUGAAGAAGGUUUUCGGAUCGUAAAACUCUGUUGUUGGAGAAGAAUGUAUCUGAUAGUAACUGAUCAGGUAGUGACGGUAUCCAACCAGAAAGCCACGGCUAACUACGUGCCAGCAGCCGCGGUAAUACGUAGGUGGCAAGCGUUGUCCGGAUUUAUUGGGCGUAAAGCGAGCGCAGGCGGUUUCUUAAGUCUGAUGUGAAAGCCUUCGGCUCAACCGAAGAAGUGCAUCGGAAACUGGGAAACUUGAGUGCAGAAGAGGACAGUGGAACUCCAUGUGUAGCGGUGAAAUGCGUAGAUAUAUGGAAGAACACCAGUGGCGAAGGCGGCUGUCUGGUCUGUAACUGACGCUGAGGCUCGAAAGCAUGGGUAGCAAACAGG
rnacentral:rRNA from 1 species